ACACCUGCUCUGAUGCACUGGGCUGCCUCAGGCCUCAAGCCCAACCAAAAAAAGUUUUUUACGGUACCUUUUAUACUGAGGCCUGACCGGAGGAAGCCCAUCAGGCCCAAAACUGCGAUCGUUCGCAUCUCGCCCAUCGUGAGAAAAAAACGCAGCGUCGCUCUUCCCGUGAUCCCGUCGCCGUCACCGCCCCCUCUCAGCCGCCGCCGCCCCCUUCGUCCGGUGUAAGCGGUGCCGCGCCGUCCCGUCGCCGUCGCAGCCCCCUUCAGCCGGUGCCACGGAGCUGGCCCGUCGCUGUCACCGUCACCGCCCUCUUCAGCGGGUGCCACCGGCGGAGCCUGGCGCCUCCCCCGCCCUGCUUCACACAUGGAUACAGCAGAAUCCUUAUAACAAGAUUGUUAAUUACUGUAUGGUCUGCUCCUAAUUAUUUCUUCAGGUGUGGCCGUCGGGAUGUAUAAAUCGGUUGUUCUGUGCCCAUCCAGGUCGAUUGUUUGUAAUGAAGUUGAUGCUCCCAUUUGAGCUUUUGAGAAAAUGCCUCUGCCAAGGGAGUGGUGUAGACGAAGCCUAUGGGGACAAGAUGUGAAAUUUUGAUACCACUUCAUCCCCAGGAAAUCCAUUUGCUAGAAUGUAGAAUCGUAUGCAAAAUGUGUACCUUGAGUUAAUCUGUUGUUGCACUGCAGUUGUAGGAUUUUUUUUGUAGUUUUCGUGUUUUGCGUGAAACUGCUCUAAGAAAACAUAUUUUACAGUAAUAUGAUUGAAGCUGUUAUGAGAAUGUGUAACGGUUGCCAAGUUGGGAUUGUUGUACCCUACAGAUGAGACCUUAAUCUUCUUUUCUCUUUCUUUGAGAAAGACGAGA